CCUGGCUCAGAGCGAACGUUGGCGAUGCGUUUUAAGCAUGCAAGUCGAGCGGUAUCAUUUACUUCGGUUUAUGAGAGAGCGGCGAACUGGUGAGUAACACGUAGGUAAUCUACCCUUUAGCGGGGGAUAGCUCCUGGAAACAGGGAUUAAUACCCCAUAGUCUUUUACGGCAUAAGUUGUAAAAGUAAAGUAGCAAUACACUAUAGGAUGAGCCUGCGCCCUAUUAGCUAGUGAGGUAGGUGCUUUGCAAAGCGACGAUAGGUAGGCUAGCCUGCCUGAGAGGGCGACCGGCCACAUUGGGACUGAGAUACGGCCCAGACUCCUACGGGAGGCAGCAGCUAAGAAUCUUCCGCAAUGGACGAAAGUCUGACGGAGCGACAUCGCGUGAGGGACGAAGGCCUUCGGGUUGUAAACCUCUUUUGUUAUCGAUGAAUGAGUGACCGUAGAUAACGAAUAAACCUCGGCUAAUUACGUGCCAGCAGCCGCGGUAAUACGUAAGAGGCAAACGUUGCUCGGAUUUACUGGGCGUAAAGGGUGAGUAGGCGGAAUCGUAAGUUUAAGGUGAAAGAUCGGAGCUUAACUCCGAAAACGCCUUGGAUACUGCGGUUCUAGAGUGAGGCAGAGGAUGAUGGAAUUCCUGGUGUAAGGGUGGAAUCUGUAGAUAUCAGGAAGAACACCAAUGGCGAAGGCGGUCAUCUGGGCCUUAACUGACGCUGAAUCACGAAAGCUAGGGGAGCGAACGGGAUUAGAUACCCCGGUAGUCCUAGCCGUAAACGUUGUACACUGGGUGUUUGUGGCACGUCCACAAGUGCCGUAGCUAACGUGUUUAGUGUACCGCCUGGGGAGUAUGCUCGCAAGGGUGAAACUCAAAGGAAUUGACGGGGGCCCGCACAAGUGGUGGAGCAUGUGGUUUAAUUCGAUGAUACGCGAAAAACCUUACCUGGGUUUGAAAUGGUAGAGGAAUGGUGCAGAGAUGUGCCAGCCCGCAAGGGCCUUUAUCACAGGUGCUGCAUGGCUGUCGUCAGCUCGUGUCGUGAGAUGUUGGGUUAAGUCCCGCAACGAGCGCAACCCCUACUCCUUGUUGCUACCGGGUAAUGCCGGGCACUCUCGGAGAACUGCCUGCGACAAGCAGGAGGGAGGUGGGGAUGACGUCAAGUCCUCAUGGCCCUUAUGUCCAGGGCUACACACGUGCUACAAUGGGUGAUACAGAGAGAAGCGAUACCGCGAGGUGGGGCGAAUCUCAAAAAGUCAUCCUCAGUUCGGAUUGGAGUCUGAAACUCGACCCCAUGAAGCUGGAAUCACUAGUAAUCGCAGAUCAGAAUGCUGCGGUGAUACGUUCCCGGGCCUUGUACACACCGCCCGUCACACCACCUGAGUUGGUUUUACCCGAAGUCGUUAGCCUA
rnacentral:rRNA from 1 species